CUGCCAAAACUUGCAUAACUUCCUCUAAAAGACUCGGAAUCAUGAACCGUAAAAUGGUCCAGAAACUAUACUUCCACAUCUUUCCAAUGAUAUAUGGCUCAUUAGUUGGUUUUCCAUAACAAGAAUAGUCCAAUCCGUGAAGUUGACUGAUCUGCAGACACAAUUUUGAGCUAACUUGACUCCAAAAAAUUGCAUUAAAUGAGUUAUAAAGCUUAAUACACUGAAACAAACAUAAAAGAGAUGAAAAGUACAAGUUUAACUAAAAAAUAUAAUAAAAUCAUAAGCUAAAAGGGUACAAAAUUAUAUACAAUUAUACACUGAUCACUUACUUUAAAUGUGGCUUGUCUCAAUUAGACCCCAAAUGCAUGACACUAAUAAGGAUAUCAUAUGUCCCAUCCCAUAUCCACCUUCGGAUUAUUAAAAAAAAAAAAAAUGCAAAGCAAGUGCUCAAAACUUGCUUUAAACAUGGCUUGUCUCAAUUGGACCCCAAAUGCAUGCCACCUGACCAAGAAAACAAUUUUUUUUUUUUUCUUAAAGUAACCUAGAAUAGUACUUGGAUUUGCUUUGCACAAAGAAAAAACAACAAAAAAGUUCUAACAUGGCAUUUAAUUGGUGCCUGAGUGCCUCAUUACUUGACCGCGUGGGUGUUGUCGUCCUUCCCUUCUAUAUCUCCCAACGACCAAGAGAAGCAUCUCUUCAAAAUAAUAGCCUUCAUCUCUUGCAGAACAAAACAGCAAUUUCCCUUGGAGACUAUAUCCAUUAGAGAAGAAACAAAAUGGAACGAAUAACCAUUUCUCUUGGGUCCUUCCUUUUGCAAUACCACCACCAUUGUGGAUCUAUAAAUGACAAACGAAGUGGAUUUGAACCCUCAAGUUAACAAUCAGGUCCCUGAGAAGACUACCAUUCAAGUCAAUCAAAAGAAGCAAAGAAGGACCAAGAAGUCUGGCUUAGCUGGAAACCAUAGAAAAUCUGAGGUAUGGAAUUAUUUUAAGAAAGUUUUAGAUGAGAAAACGGGAAAAUACAAAGUUAUUGCAGUUGUAAGCCAAGAAGGCCUGUCACGCGAAUGAGUGGUGUUGACAAAUCUUGUUUGGUUUUGUUUGAUUAAGUAUGUAGAUUUUUUAUGUAAAGGAAAAUCACUGCAGUUGUAACUUCAAGUUUUCUUAUGGAUGUUAUCUAUGUUAAUUGUUGUGGUUUGUAUUUUAAUUUUCAAUUUUGGACAA